rnacentral:rRNA from 1 species
UACGUAGGUGGCAAGCGUUGUCCGGAUUUAUUGGGCGUAAAGAGCGCGCAGGCGGUUCGUUAAGUCCGAGGUAAAAUCUCCCGGCUCAACUGGGAGGGGUCUUCGGAUACUGGCGGACUUGAGGAGUGCAGAGGUGAGUGGAAUUCUCGGUGUAGUGGUGAAAUGCGUAGAUAUCGAGAGGAACACCAGCGGCGAAGGCGGCUCACUGGGCACCACCUGACGCUGAGGCGCGAAAGCGUGGGGAGCGAACCGG